CCUACGGGAGGCAGCAGUGGGGAAUAUUGGACAAUGGGGGCAACCCUGAUCCAGCCAUGCCGCGUGUGUGAAGAAGGCCCUCGGGUUGUAAAGCACUUUCAGUGAGGAAGAACGCCUGGUGGUUAAUACCCAUCAGGAAAGACAUCACUCACAGAAGAAGCACCGGCUAACUCCGUGCCAGCAGCCGCGGUAAUACGGAGGGUGCGAGCGUUAAUCGGAAUUACUGGGCGUAAAGCGCGCGUAGGUGGCUUGAUAAGCCGGUUGUGAAAGCCCCGGGCUCAACCUGGGAACGGCAUCCGGAACUGUCAAGCUAGAGUGCAGGAGAGGAAGGUAGAAUUCCCGGUGUAGCGGUGAAAUGUGUAGAGAUCGGGAGGAAUACCAGUGGCGAAGGCGGCCUUCUGGACUGACACUGACACUGAGGUGCGAAAGCGUGGGUAGCAAACAGGAUUAGAUACCCCAGUAGUC
rnacentral:rRNA from 1 species